rnacentral:tRNA from 1 species
CAGCGUGUAGCUCAGGAGGAGAGCGCCGGGCUUCCAUCCCGGAGGGCGCGGGGGCGGGACCCGCCACGCUGG